rnacentral:rRNA from 1 species
UUGACCUCGAAUCAGGUAGGACUACCCGCUGAACUUAAGCAUAUCAAUAAGCGGAGGAAAAGAAACCAACAGGGAUUGCCCCAGUAACGGCGAGUGAAGCGGCAACAGCUCAAAUUUGAAAUCUGGCCCCUAGGGUCCGAGUUGUAAUUUGCAGAGGAUGCUUUUGACAAGGUGCCUUCCGAGUUCCCUGGAACGGGACGCCAUAGAGGGUGAGAGCCCCGUCUGGUCGGAUACCGCGUCUCUGUAAAGCUCCUUCGACGAGUCGAGUAGUUGGGA